CCAAUUCGCAAUCACCAUUCAACCCCGAAAAAACCCUUCUUUCUCUCUCCACCCCCUUCCCCACUCUGUCGGAAAUUUCAUUUCUCGGAUAUGCAUGUGCCCUUGAUGUUUCGAUGAGUAGAGUCCCGCUUGUACUGUUAGAAAUUCUUUGUUAGAUUUCAAUUUGUUGUCAGCGGUAGUUUUUGUAAUGCUUUUCAAUUGAUUUUCUUUAAUGUGUACUUUUCCGAAUUGUGAUUUGAAUGUAUUAGCUGUUAUUUUGCGGUAGCUUUGUUGAGUAGUGUGUGAUUCUAGUAUUGGAAAUGACCAAGAGUGAUGUAGAGUUGGGGAUUUUUUAAUCUUUUUGGUGGAAAUGGAGAGCACACGAAGAUCGUUCGACAGAUCUCUUUCGAAGGAACCGGGACCGAAGAAACCUAGGCUUACAGAGGACCCUACUGCAGCGGAUCGAAUCUCCAAUGGCCGUGCCGGAUUUAUCCAACGUCCUGCUAUUUCGAACCCUGCUGUUGGCGGAGGCCCAAGGACUCAGAGGGACCGAGACUCGGAAAGUAGCGAUUCUAUGCGGGGGUCCUUUCAUCACCAGACAGGGGCGCAGUUGCAUCAGGAACUGGUGACUCAGUACAAGACCGCGCUGGCUGAGCUGACUUUCAAUUCGAAGCCCAUCAUAACCAACCUGACAAUUAUUGCUGGAGAGAGUUUGCCUGCGGCCAAGGCCAUUGCAGCUACUAUCUGCAACAAUAUUAUUGAGGUUCCUAGCGAUCAAAAACUGCCUUCUCUGUAUCUAUUAGACAGCAUUGUGAAAAAUAUUGGGAGAGAUUACAUAAAAUUCUUUGCUUCCAGACUACCGGAGGUCUUCUGUAAGGCAUAUAGACAGGUUGAUCCUUCAAUACACCAAGGUAUGCGGCACCUCUUUGGCACCUGGAAGGGAGUCUUCCCCCCACAGUCGCUUCAGCUGAUUGAGAGGGAACUUGGAUUCACCUCUGCAGCUACUGUAUCAGCAGCCUCUAGAACUGAAUCACAAGCCCAACGUCCUGCGCAUAGCAUUCAUGUAAACCCUAAGUAUUUGGAGGCAAGGCAGCGACUGCAAACCAGCAGGUCUAUCCAGCAACAUCAAAGAGAUCAAGUAAAUAAUCCAGUUCGUGAGAAAAGUUCUGGUGUAGAAUUUGCAGAUGAUUAUGGUUCUGGUGUCUUGGGGCGUUCAGGCUUGGGAAGUGGAAGGAUGACAGAACACCUUAAAGAUCCUGGAUAUGACAGGCCCUGGGAUGAAUCAGACAGUGAUUUGAUUGGGAUGGCGAAUCAAAAGAAUGGUUUUGGUCUGAAACAUGGAUUAGAAAGCUUUGUUGCCCACGAAUCCGUACAUUUUGACUCAGAUCUACAGCCUAAGAAAAAUAUAUCCAGUAGGAACACAAAUGGGAUGAGGGAGAACUGGAAAGACUCUGAGGAGGAGGAGUAUACCUGGAGUGAGAUGAACUCUAGACCUACUAUAGCUGAUGCUCCAACUAAAAAUCAAUGGGCCCCAGCCAAUUAUGAUAGAGUGGAUUUUGAAAGCCAUCUCCCAGGACAUCAAAAUAUACAUGAUAUUGGGCCAAGGGAUGAUGAUGAACUUUCAAUUGAUUCCAUCUCCAUGGAUCGCAGCCAAGUGGCUUCGGGGGCUCAAGUGCCAUUGUGGUCACAAAAGCUGCAUCCACCAGAAGGGAGUAUGCAUUUAGGGAGUGGUAAAACCUUAUCAGUUCAGUCUGAGGGAUUUGCAACUGGGUUGAAUAGCACCAAAAGUACAAUGGGCAAGACCCAUUCUCAGUCACAGCUCGGUCAAUCUCAUAUUGGAAUGCCAAGCUUUAAGUUCCCGAUGAAUGAAACACCUUUGUCGAAAGGAUCAAUGAGUCAAGAGCGGCAGACUCUUGCCCCUCCAUCCUCAGCACGAUCAUUAGUGCAUCAACGUCCUCCGUCACCUUCUGUUGCUUCUCAUGGCCAGAGUCAAUUUCUAAACAAUUCUUCUGAGCGCAACCCCACAGCUACAGGUCCUCCUAAAGAUCCUCGAAGGCGUCCAGGGCAAAAGAACACGAACUAUCCUGACCAAGUUUCAACGGAUCCUCCUAUGCCAACUCGGGGAGUUUAUCAGGCAAGCAAACAGAAGCCGCAACCUACAAAUCUACGGUCUACGUCCACUAUGGCACCUCCCACUCAACAAAGGAAACAUGCUCCUGCUGCUCGACCAAGAAGUGUUGAAGUCUCUCAAUUUGAGACUUCUGUGCCUGAACACCGCUUGCUAUCAUCACAAAUUUCAGGCUCUGGAAGCCGCUCGUCGAUGGGGAAUUCAUCUUCCGACCAAUCGAAUCCUUUUACUGUUGAUUCCCCUGGAAAAUCCAUUACUAGUUCACUAACAGGUAGCUUAAAUAACCCUUUCAGUUCUCAAGAAACCAGGCCCGGUUCAUCUGUGAAGAUGCCAAGUGCAGUUAAUUCCACCUCAAAUCCUUUUUCCAGUCUCUUAAGCUCAUUGGUUGCAAAAGGCCUGAUAUCUUCUUCGAAGUCUGAUCCAGUGUUGUCCACAUCACCUAAAACUGAUCAACCUAUGGACAAAGUUCCAGAGACUGCCAAACCUAGUUCAGCUCCAGUUUCUUCUGUUCCAGUCACAUUGUCAAAACCUAUUGUGUCUGUGAGUGACAAGCCAUCUUCAUCUGAGGCUACACUUAAUACUUCUGACAGAUUGGCUCCCUCAACAGACAAGAUAAAACAUCUUAUUGGUUUUGACUUCAAGCCAGAUGUAGUCCGUAAGUUCCAUCCAGAUGUGAUUAGUGAUCUUCUCUGUAAUCUUCCACAUCUUUGUACCAUAUGUGGUCUUAAACUUAAAUUUCAAGAACAGCUUGACAAACACAUGGAAUGGCAUGCAUCAAAGGUUCCUGAGGAUGACCCCUUGAGUAAGAUUUCAAGGAGUUGGUACACAGAUGUAGUUGAUUGGGUUUCAGGAGUUGGUAAUGCUCAUCCUCAAAGUAGUCCUUUGGAUAUUGGAGGUUCAGGUGAUAUACUAGAAAGUAAUGAGCCAUUGGUCCCAGCAGAUGAGAGUCAAUGUGCAUGUAUAUUGUGUGGUGAGCUGUUUGAAGAUUUCUACGAUCAAGAAAACGAUGAGUGGAUGUUUAAAGGAGCUCUUUACUUAACCAUCCCAUCCCCGAACGAGGGACUUGGAGCCACAAGUGAUACUUUGGUUCUUAGUCCGAUAGUCCAUUCUGACUGUAUAUCAGAAGACACUAUGAAUGACUUGGGACUAGCUUAUGAUGUCAAAAUGUUGGGGCUGUGAAGAAUGAUGAGAGGGGAUAUUUUCUGUGGCCUCUUGAAGUACUAUUACUACUAUUACAAGAAAAGGAAUAAUAUCUCGAGGAGAGUAAGAAUUAAUGAUGCUCGCUCACAAUCAAUGCCUAUAGUGCCUAGCACGGAAUGGACAGAAAUUUUGCAUUUACAUUGAGCUUGUAGUUUAUGAUCAUAGUUAAUGGCUAUGCACCGUGUAAGCUGUUCCCUCUUGUUCAAUUUUGAACCUACUCGAGCUUUACUUUUUCCUCCCUAAGCAGGAGGAAAUUAUAGAGAGAUGAUUUGCUAUGGUCCUUACUUCUUAAUUUAAAGUUUGUUAGCUCAUGAAUAGCAUCAUUCAUGACAUGCUCCCUGACAAAUGAUUCCAGUCUGUGAUUUAGAUACAAAAAAAGUUAGGUUCAGUGAUUAGAGCAGAAGGAUAGAUUAUCACUGAGGUGGUAAAUUGUACUGCACUUUGCCCUGAGAUGAUGUUUUGAUUUCUUGCUUAGGGCUUGGAUAUGCCAUUGAAGGUAUCGUGCCAGCAUUGGUGUCCGUAUUAUGUUCCAGAUCUCUUAUAUGAUGAUACCAAAUGCUAAUGUUAAUCUUUCGGCAGGAUGUCAUGCCUAUUUCAGACAUGCAUGAUGCACCUCUAUAUAUGGUUAUAUGUACCUUGCAACAGGUAAAAUGGAAUCAUCAUUUUGUAGACUUCUACUUGUUUUUUUGUUUCUCAUGAAGGUUGUAUUAUUUAGAUAACUGGCCUCCCUGCUAAACGAAAGCGUUCCUUGUAACUUGAGAACCCUGCUUCUGUAUAGGCUCUUUCGACUUCUGUUGGUAUUGGUUUAUGAUUGAUGUUUUAAAUAAGAAGUCAGAUUUUUCCUA